rnacentral:tRNA from 1 species
AAAGGUAUGUUGAAAUUGGUAGACAAGCUUUUGUUAAGUAGAAGUGGAAAUUAUUCCUUAAGAGUUCGACUCUCUUUACCUUUA